rnacentral:rRNA from 1 species
GACAGAGGGUGCAAACGUUGUUCGGAAUUACUGGGCGUAAAGCGAGUGUAGGCGGUCUCCUAAGUCGGGUGUGAAAGCCCCGGGCUCAACCCGGGAAGUGCACUCGAAACUGGGAGGCUAGAGUAUCGGAGAGGUUGGUGGAAUUCUCGGUGUAGAGGUGAAAUUCGUAGAUAUCGAGAGGAACACCGGUGGCGAAGGCGGCCAACUGGACGAAUACUGACGCUGAGACUCGAAAGCUAGGGGAGCAAACAGG